rnacentral:piRNA from 1 species
UGUUGUUCUGUUACCUAGGC